rnacentral:rRNA from 1 species
GAUCAUGGCUCAGGACGAACGCUGGCGGCGUGCCUAACACAUGCAAGUCGAGCGGAGACAGUGAGUAGCUUGCUAUGAGCUGUUUUAGCGGCGGACGGGUGAGUAACGCGUGAGCAACCUUUCCCAGACAGGGGAAUAACACACCGAAAGGUGUACUAAUACCGCAUAAGACCACGGAAUCACAUGGUUCUGGGGUAAAAGAUUUAUCGGUUUGGGGUGGACUCGCGUCCGAUUAGGUAGUUGGUGAGGUAACGG